UACGGAGGGUGCAAGCGUUAUCCGGAUUUAUUGGGUUUAAAGGGUCCGCAGGCGGACUUGUAAGUCAGAGGUGAAAGCCGGCAGCUCAACUGUCGAACUGCCUUUGAAACUGCAAGUCUUGAGUGAGGUUGAAGUAGCUAGAAUGAGUAGUGUAGCGGUGAAAUGCUUAGAUAUUACUCAGAAUACCAAUUGCGAAGGCAGGUUACUAAGUCUUAACUGACGCUGAGGGACGAAAGCGUGGGGAGCGAACAGG
rnacentral:rRNA from 1 species